rnacentral:rRNA from 1 species
GUCUACAGCCAUACCAUCCUGAAUGUGCUUGAUCUUGUUUGAUCUUCAAAGCUAAGCAGGUUCAGGUCUGGUUAAUACUUGGAUGGGAGAGUUUCAUUUGCUUCAUAUU